CCUACGGGCGGCAGCAGUGAGGAAUAUUGGUCAAUGGACGCAAGUCUGAACCAGCCAAGCCGCGUGCAGGAGGACGGCUCUAUGAAUUGUAAACUUCUUUUGUCUGGGAAUAAAGUCAGGGACGCGUUCCUGUUUGUAUGUACCUUAUGAAUAAGCAUCGGCUAACUCCGUGCCAGCAGCCGCGGUAAUACGGAGGAUGCGAGCGUUAUCCGGAUUUAUUGGGUUUAAAGGGUGCGUAGGCGGUCGGUUAAGUCAGCGGUGAAAGUCCGGGGCUCAACCUCAGAAUUGCCUUUGAAACUGGUCGGCUCGAGAGGAGGUGAGGUAGGCGGAAUGCGUGGUGUAGCGGUGAAAUGCAUAGAGAUCACGCAGAACUCCGAUUGCGAAGGCAGCUUACCAAGCUACUACUGACGUUGAGGCACGAAAGCGUGGGGAUCAAACAGGAUUAGAUACCCCAGUAGUC
rnacentral:rRNA from 1 species